GUCAACGUUCCCUGCCCUUGUGGAGCUGACAUUCUAACAGGACCAGAGGAUUCUAAGGAGGACGAGAUGGGUGUGGCUCCUGCUGUCCUAGGAGCCCUUGGUCUGAAUGUCCGGCGCUGAGUGGGCUGGCUGAGGGCAUGGGGGUGGCAUGAGACAGGGCUGGAGGAUGGCUUGGAUGGGUGACCUGUGAGCACAGGAUAAGGCCCUGAGAAGCCAGGCGAGGGAAAUUAGCAGGAGCCCAAACUGUUUGGCCGAGGCCCACUUUAAGAACCACUGAUGCCUGGCUUCUGGAAAGACCUGAGGACUUCAUUCAUCCAGUCUCUCCCCUUCAAGCUUAUCCUUUAUGUAAUUAAAGCC